GUUGGGGUGCGGUUGAUUUUGUCGUAGGCUGGUUCCAGAAUCUUACACCAACUCUUUAUUACGCUGUAUCUUUGAGCCAAUAUUCAGAUGCGGAACUUUAAAAGUUGAAGAUACCAAGAAACAAUGUAGCAACAUGGACGAAAAAUUUACAACUUUCUUAAACACUUGUUGAAAGUUGGCAAGACAGUAUACUAUUUCAUCAAAAGAAAUUCGUCUGAGAUGGAAGCCUAUCGAGUUUGACCAGCAUCAAAGCAAUUUUCAAAAACAUUGCUCGAAAGUUGGCAAAACAUCAUUUCAUCAAAAGGAAUUUGUCAUUCUCAGUUGUCUGGUAAUCAUCACUGAGCAAGAUGGAAGCAUGUAGUGUACAGUCUGGCCAGCAGAUCAAGUGUUCUCUAUUAAAGAACUUAAAGAUUCUGGAACCAUAAGAAAAUGGUAAAUAAAACUUGAGUAUUCAAAUCUGAAGGAGAGUUUGACCAAACAUGUCUGAGAACUACUUGCAAACAAAUGCAUUGAGCCGCACUCGAGACUAUUUUAGACUAUACCCAAUGACAUGAGACUAUUUUAGACUAUACCCAAUGGAAUGAGACUAUUCAGUCUAUACCCAAUGUCAUACGUACUUUAAUCCUCUAUGCAGGCACGAAUCUAUGAGAAUUUUAAUCACAACAUGGGUCGACCAAUCAGGUUCGUGUGAUUUUACUAAAAUAAAAACAGAUUCUUGAUCGAUCUAUUGUUUAGGAACCAAAUUUUUUAUUGUAUUUUUCAUUUAGCUACAAUACAAUUUCUAUAUUUGAUUCAAUAUUCCAUAUAAAUAUGAAAAGUUAAUAAUUUAUAGUUCAUGACUUAUGUAAAAUCAAAUAGUGGAUAUAUUUAUUAUACCAAAGCAUCGUUUAUUUUUGUUAAAUUUUUCAUUUCAUCCCUCCAUUCCAUUCUAAACAUACAUUCCUGUGAUUACCUAAAUUAUUUGGCAUCAAGGAAGCGACCUCAUUCAACAUAUUUGUCAUAUAACUUAAUUUUACAAAUACUUUUCUGAUUAAUGAGGAACCAGCAUUCAAAAUAUAAUGCUAUUAUAUCUCAUUAUUGUCUUAUUUACUCAUUUUGAUACCAUUUGUAAUCGGUACGAACUAAAUAAAGUCUAUUCAUGGUUGUCAAUGUUACCAAACACACAAAUUUAAUCUUACCGGUACUUUAUAAACACUGCUUGUUCUUUGUUUGGAAUCGUCUUCGGAAAACGAACCAGGCCGGCAUGGUUUGUCUCUUCUGUCGAUGAA